AGCGGCGGACGGCUGAGUAACACGUUGGUACCUGCCCCAAACUCAGGGAUAACAAUUGGAAACGAUUGCUAAUACCGGAUAGUCCCGCAAGGGUAAAGAUUUAUCGGUUUGGGAGGGGCCUGCGGCUUAUCAGGUAGUUGGUAGUGUAAUGGACUACCAAGCCUAUGACGAGUAGCUGGUGUGAGAGCAUGACCAGCCAGAAUGGAACUGAGACACGGUCCAUACUCC
rnacentral:rRNA from 1 species